GGGGGAGCACCGCAACGGGAGGAGCGUGCGGUUUAAUUGGAUUCAACACCGGAAAACUCACCAAGGGCGACUGUUACAUGAAGGCCAGGCCGACGACCUUGCCGGAUUUUCAGAGAGGUGGUGCAUGGCCGUCGUCAGUUCGUACCGUAAGGCGUUCUCUUAAGUGAGAUAACGAACGAGACCCUCACCGAUAAUUGCUACUUCUUCCUCCGGGGAGGAGGCACAUUAUCGGGACCGCUGGCGCUAAGCCAGAGGAAGGAGAGGUCAACGGUAGGUCAGUAUGCCCCGAAUCUCUUGGGCUACACGCGCGCUACAAAGGGCGGGACAAUGGGCUCCGACGCCGAGAGGCGGAGGCAAUCCCGAAACCCGUCCGUAGUUCGGAUUGAGGGCUGUAACCCGCCCUCAUGAAGCUGGAUUCCGUAGUAAUCGCGAAUCAACAACUCGCGGUGAAUAUGCCCCUGCUCCUUGCACACACCGC
rnacentral:rRNA from 1 species